CGAACUCGUGUACACGAUAUACUGAUUGACGACCUCGGGAGCUGACCGAGUCGCACCCUUGGACUCCCAGCAACGGGUAGCUGUGGCGACGGAUUCGAAGUCACGAUCUCCGAACCACGGCGUAACGUCAUGUUGCUGAGAACCUGGAAAGACUCUCCCAUGGUGGAAAACUUGCUGCCUGUUAAAAAAAAAAGUGCUGACGCUGGACACUUCUUCCAUAAAUGUUAAUUAACCGUCUCCUUACCGAAAUCACCGGAUCAACGUUUACACUUAUUGCCAAUUAUAGAUGGAUCAGCACCACGCGGCACCUUUUGACAUGGCAGAACUAGUCAGAGCUGGCCUGUCAGGAAAAGGGGAAAUCAGGACAAGUUGUGUGUGUAUGAUAAUGUCACAACGGCGUGGAAACAGCGAUAACAGCGCAAGCGAGCUAGACAAGUGCAAAGUCCACAAGCUCAGAAAGGCAUGGAGGCGAGUCAGGACCUGCAGCAGGGUUACUGUAAACGACGUUCUGUAAUGGCACCGCUCUGUGCAGCAGUGUGUGUGUGUGUGUGUGUGUGAAAGACUUUAUGAUGACCAGUCGUACCCUCAAUCCACUCUGCUCAACUCUACAAGGACCAACCGGUCCCCUGUUCUUAUCUGCCAUCGCCAACCCCUGAACACAACCUGCAAAUAGGUCUAGCGUUUGCUUGUUGUUGUUGUUUCUUCUGUUUACAGACUGGAUGCUGAGCUCGGAAGACUAAUUAUGGCUUUCCUAGUCUUUCGUCAUGUCCAUAAGUGGCCGUUGCCUUGAAGGUAGCGUGGUGUAAUGGUCUAAAUGAGGAAGGGCAUAACAAAGAGAGCACUCAAAGUUCGACGUUCCACCUAAGAACAACACAGACAUGUAGAGGCGGAUGAUUGGGCAAGCGAGUGCUAAGAUUAGCUGCAGCAUUUAAUAUUCCCACAACAGCGCAGGAGGAAUAUCAUACCGCUGCCCGCAAUCAAUCCGUGUCCGAAACGCCUUACCCACUAUUCCUUACCAACACGAAGUGCGUUAUGGGUAUGCAGAGGCUUACACGAGCAUACUGGAGUGCUUAUGUUAUGCUAGAAAAUGCUUCAACGCUUUGACAUAAACUCGGUAAUAAGGCUGUGUUGUUAUUAAUGUUGUAUAACCAAACCAGAGCCAAUGAACUUAAAGAUGCAUGAGGUAAAAUUUUGUGUUAAAAAAAGAAAAGGGAAAAAAAAAAAAAAGGUUAAACGAGUGGCGUUGAGUAAGAGUAGAAUGAGCUUUUCACUUACUGAGCUCGCCCCCCCUUUCCACCCAUAAAGCUCCGCCCCCAAAACUGUUGUCGGUUCGACUAGAGUCACCCUGCGUCCCAGUUGGCAUACUAUCCGUACUACAUGAUAUCCGAGAUCAGAAUUAGCGUGUUCCAAAUCAAAGUAUGUUGAAAUGAGUAUCCUAAAGGUACCCGGGUGGAUCCGUGGACACUUUUUCAGCUAAUAUUGCCCUCAACUCCUUGCGCGACGGAGGAGGAGGAGUUUCGUGACUGUUUGCUUCACCGGUGUAAAUGAAAUGUGGACAGAUAAAGCAAGGGAAUGCUACAUUAAAUUAUACGGUCUAAAUUAUGUAAGGAAUAAUGAGCAAAGAAGAGCUGAAAUGCAACGAAGCGCUUGCUCACGGUGACCGGGUUUCUCUUCCGGGGCAACAACGUUCUCUUGCGCUGCACGAUGUGUUCGUAUACUCGAUUAAUACACACACUCAAGCUUUGUACUUUUUCCUUCACAAACAAACAAACAAACAAACAAAUAAAUAAAUAAAUGUACAUCCUUUUAGUAUAAGGGACUAAACGCUUGUUGAGUAUACUAACUAGAAUCACCGUUCGCAAAGACGUCGUCAUAACACCACUUGCA
ensembl:lncRNA